AUUGAACGCUGGCGGCAUGCUUUACACAUGCAAGUCGAACGGUAACAGGCCGCAAGGUGCUGACGAGUGGCGAACGGGUGAGUAAUGCAUCGGAACGUGCCCAGUCGUGGGGGAUAACGCAGCGAAAGCUGCGCUAAUACCGCAUACGAUCUAUGGAUGAAAGCGGGGGACCGUAAGGCCUCGCGCGAUUGGAGCGGCCGAUGUCAGAUUAGGUAGUUGGUGGGGUAAAGGCUCACCAAGCCAACGAUAUGUAGCUGGUCUGAGAGGACGACCAGCCACACUGGGACUGAGACACGGCCCAGACUCCGACGGGAGGCAGCAGUGGGGAAUUUUGGACAAUGGGCGCAAGCCUGAUCCAGCAAUGCCGCGUGCAGGAAGAAGGCCUUCGGGUUGUAAACUGCUUUUGUACGGAACGAAACGGUCCUGGUUAAUACCCGGGGCUAAUGACGGUACCGUAAGAAUAAGCACCGGCUAACUACGUGCCAGCCGCCGCCGUAACAC
rnacentral:rRNA from 1 species